CGCGCGGGCUGCACCUGCUCAGGGAGCUGCCCCUCUGUUGUUGUUGUUAUUUUCCUUCUUGGCGUGCCAUCGAGGCUUUUGGGGGAAAAAAAGGAAGAAAUACUUGUGUUGGCUGCAUUUCCAGGGAUGCUACCAGAGCUCAAGGCUGUCACCUGGUCUUGCCCAGAAGAGCCGUUCUUAGAGGCAGGACUUGAUGAAGGCUUUCCUGCUGAUGGAAUAGGUUUGCUAGAGCUGGCCUUGGAAUUAGAACCCUUCAUGUGGCCUUUAUAAAUAUGCGUUUGAGACAGAGUUAUAUGCAGAAGUUGAAAAUGCCUGGAAGAUUUCUGGUUUCUUUCACUACUUAUCCUGCCUUUUUGCAUCGCUGCCAGAUUUGGAUGAUAUGAUAUUCAGAGGGGCACCUUAAUCAAAGCCAUUCUUCAACAAGACCCACCUGGCAUAAGAUUGCACACAUAAUUCAAGAUGGCCAGUCAACCUCCUGAAGACACUGCGGAGUCUCAGGCCUCUGAUGAGCUGGAGUGCAAAAUCUGUUACAAUCGAUACAAUCUGAAACAGAGGAAACCCAAAGUGCUGGAGUGUUGUCAUAGGGUUUGUGCCAAAUGCCUCUACAAGAUCAUAGACUUUGGGGACUCCCCACAAGGUGUCAUUGUCUGUCCUUUCUGCAGGUUUGAGACGUGCCUGCCAGAUGAUGAAGUUAGUAGCCUGCCCGA
rnacentral:lncRNA from 1 species